rnacentral:lncRNA from 1 species
UUAUACUACUGAAGGUCCUACAGUCAGAACUUGAGAAUCUCUAAGGGGAAAAGCAUAAAAUAGUCAAAACAUGAUUUCGGCAGAGAUGUAACAGUGGGCAGUGUUAUAUAUUAUCAACAACCCAACUACUGGACAGCGAUUGAAUUCUCAUAGCUAGUAGUUUGUUUCAAGAUCACUAUUCUAAUUGUACAGUGUGAAAUAAAAAACUCAGUUUAUUAAUGAAAACAUUUAUGAUGUCUGUGUUUCGACUAAUAACGGAUGGUAAUAUUCUAGUAGUCCAUUAGAGCUGAAAGGGCAGCAGGACAUACUGACCUUUCUUACAUUAAUGGUGAUUUCUCUCUCUCUCUCUCUUUCCCUCUGUCUGUCUAGCAAACAUUCAGUGGAGUGCAGCCAUUCCCAGGGGUUCAGAGUCCACAGGAACUGCCCUUAGAAACACGCUCUCGUCCAAUGAAAGUGAAGAAAUGUGUUUCACAGUGAACUUGCUGGACUCUCGCUCUGUCAUUGGUGACCUGGGGUGGGUUGCCUACCCAAAGAAUGGGGUGAGUUCCACACAUCUUCCUGUCUUUCAACACUUUGAGUUAAGAGCCGACUUAGGAGAACAUCUCAAGGUCUCCGAUUCCCUCAACGGCAGAAAAGACAGUUUCAAAGUGAAAAAUAAUAGAACAUGGAGAGCGCAGCACAGAGAGAAAGGGACUAUGAGAGGUCAGAGACAAACAGAGAAGAAGGGAAAGCCCUUUUUUUGUUCUAAAGGAGGCACAAAGACCCACUAAACCUGCUGUUCUAAUUUCUUUGUGACACUUAGAGUGUGAUUCAUUUCUGUUGAGCCAGCCGAUUGGUAAACCCACUGAACAAUAUGUUGAAUUUUAACGACAGAUGGCCAACUUUAUAUAAAUAUCUGUUUUUGGAUUCCCGAUUUCCUUUGAGAAUGCCAAAGUGAAGAAAGCUGAAGCUACAUGAAAUGGUUUGUCAGCAGAAAAGGUACAUGUGUUGAGUACCUCGGUUGUUUUUGACAGGCUGACAAGAAUUAAGCAGCUACAAACUCGAACAAAACAUGAAAAUAAAUAUCCCAGUAUUGCCUCAGGUCUGUCAGUAUCACAAUGUUUUUAUAACCCCCUCUCCCCACCACCCCAAAAAGCAACACCAUCAUUUUAACUUCUUAUCACGACAUCACCUAGUUUGCUGUUACAAGAAUAGUGCACUGACUACG